GUUCGGGCUGAAGAAGACGUGAAGUUUGUGCGUAGAUCUCUGCGGCGUUACGCCCGUGUAAAGUUAAACCGACCUUUGCAGAAGUCGCUGCUGGCUCGUUUGUUUCAAAGACACCAUGACUAUUUAUUUACAGUAGAUGACAGGUUUCUCGUCCCCUGGUGUCCCGUUGCUCUUUAUUUGUUUGUGAUGAAUGCUCGGCUGCGUCCCCUCAGCUCACAUUCUUGGUCUUCAGGUAUCCAUCCGAGGCGUUUCAGGGGCGAACAAAAGCUCCACAUGCUCUCCUGGCUCGGAGGCGAACACAUGAUCCCCUGUGUUUUGUUCUCUGAUUCGAACGCCGGGCCUCGCUGCACUUUGUUUACACUCGGCGAUGUGGCGUUUAGUGGCUGUGUUUGUUUUCCAGACGGCUGACUGACUCCGACCUUCACUCUUAUCUGUUUCUUCGGUUCGUCUUCCUCACUGUGUUUACCUUCACAUGAUCACUCGCAGCAUCCAGCUCUGAUUUAUUCCUUCAGAAAACAAAACUUCGUCUUCUAUUAUUCAUCACUACGAAUGAACCGAAGACCGAACAUGAUAGUUUUGAUUUAAGAGGCUUUAAAUGAAGGUUAGGAGCUUACAAUACACUUCACAGACAUCUGUGAUCUCAUGAUUAACUCAUUAUAGAUCCAGAAACCUUCAUUUUAAUCACCACAUAAAUGUCAGAGUAAAGGUCUAGUUGAUGUGAUUCCUAAAAUGUACAAAAAAUUAUGCAGAUAGAAAAACAAAAUGAGAGGAUUUACCGCUAAAUCAUCCUGAAAUAAUCUACUCAGACAAAUGAAAAUGGUGUGAAAGCGUCACUUCCUUCUGACAGGUAACAUAUAUUUAUAUAUGUAUAUAUCAGCUGAUCUGUGGGUUAAGAGGCUCAUUAAGCGUGUUGUUUCUUGUCGACCAAAGACCAGACUAGACUCUAUACAGAAUUAUAACCAAUAUCUGCAGAGAGGAGAGCAGGAUGUGACCCAGAAAUGACAGUAAACGAGCUACAGCUUCAUCACGACCACGGGUUUGGCCGCCACCAUCACCUCCUGCAUUCAGAUAUUGACUUUAUGAUAACAUAUAUGUAAUAAUAGGGGUGGGUGAUAAAUUGAAAAUUUACUGAUAACAAAAUUUACGACAAUAACCGACGUCAUUUUGCCCAUAUCGGUAUAUUCAGUGUCAAAAAAAUCAAAGUUGUUUUUGGAUGUGUGAAGGUCGGCUGCGGUCUCAUGUCCCUUUAAGACGCUGUCCUACGUCAGAGACGUCAGCGGCGGCUGAAGUUGACGAAGUUAAUGUGGGAGGGGGUGAGCAGAUGUGGAGUAGUUAUCGUCCAUUUAUCAUUAUCGAGGUGAACUGAUCAAUAUAUUGUGAUAUUGAUUUGAGGCCGUAUCGCUCAGCCCUAUACAGUCAUACUCAGUCAUAGUUUCAGUGACGUCACCCUUUAUUUCGAUCCUUCAGCAGCAGACCCCAUAUUAGAAAUGCUGACUCAACCUAACUUUAGGUUAACUCACCAAGAGGCGGAGCUUAAGCAGCGUCACCAUCAGUCAAGACUGAUAAGUAUGUUUGUAAUGAAGCGAGUGUGCGGUUUCAGGAGCCUCAAACGGACAUGUCUGCGUUGGUGACAACAGCUUUUACUUCGACCCUUUAGAACAGCUUUUCCCUUUUAUUAGAGUUCAUUCUCAUCGUAUUAAAGAGACAAAUAAACAUAAACAUGUUUGAAAAGACUUGAUCAGAAACUGCAGAUUGUCGGCUUUGCUGAGUACAGUGGGGAUCAGGAAAACAGAAAACAGACCUUUUGACCCCUAGGAGACCCAGACCAGUGCAGACAAUAUUAGUAGGGCUGCACGAUAUCAAUAUUUUCAAAUCAACACUAUUAACAAUACAGACACACUUAUUGUUAUAUCAUUUAUAAGAACACCAAGUCCGUCCUGAACCUGAUUUAAUCACCUGUUCCUGUAAUUUUGACUUUUUGUUUUGGAAACAGACGAUAAAUAAAACCAACAACAACAACAAACUUUAACUCACUUUUUAAGGUUUUAUCCAUCAGUUUACAUAUAUCAGACUUAUCAUAUGACUGUACCUGGUCAAACCAUCGUUAUCUGUCAUUAUCUAUCCCACUGCUCCUUACACCAUAAGCCUCAUUAAUUAGUGUCAUUAUCGUGCGCUUUAAUUUAAAUCCUGAACAAACACGUGCAAAGCCGUGAACAGCUCGUGAUGGUGAGUAUUUGUAGGAACAGAACAUGCUGGACUGAAACGACAUCAUGAAUAUUAGCGGCUCGUUAUGAACAACAGAUGUUAGGAAAAGUAUUUACACGACUUUAUUUGUUUGUGUUCUCGAUCCGCUAUAAAUACGACAUCAGCGCGUUAUGAUUCAGCCAAUAUUUAGAUCACUUUCUGGUGAGUCAGAUCUGGACUCGCUCCAGAGUUUAAUGGGUUCUUCUUUGGCGUGCGCUGCGUGUUUUUUUUUCUUCUCCGAGUUAAAAACAAGACCAUAAGGUUUCUGUAAUCCUGCAGACAGAUAGAGCGAGAAAAAGAUGAUGUUUGAGUAAAUGAUAAAAGCGUCAAGUUUCUGCAGAAAUACAAAUAAUAAUCAGACGAAUAUUUGAAGUUUUGCAUGUUUCUGCAUGUGCACGGACAUAAAUCAGUCGUACCUUUGCUGCAGGACUCUCACUGAGUAUUUUGAUGGUGCAGCGGUUGCACUCUCAGCGCAGUAAAGAUCAGCACUGAUCCCACCACUCAGCAGAGCAGCUUUCAGAGCAGCAACAUUUGCCCUCUCUGCAUGUCUCCGGUGGUUUCUCUUUGACUCUCCGGCAGCUGACAGUCUGCCAGCCGAGCUCUGUGCGAGGAGCUCCCUGGCACUGCAGCCCCUCGGAGACACACUGACCCUGUCCC